rnacentral:tRNA from 1 species
UUAGAAGAACAGGCAUCGAACCCAUACCGUAAGACUCAAAAUCUUAUGUACUUCCAAUUAUACCACCUUCUA